rnacentral:SRP_RNA from 2 species
GUCGGGCAUGGUGGCGCAUGCCUGUAAUCCCAGCUACUCAGGAGGCUGAGGCAGGAGAAUCACUUGAACCCAGGAGGCGGAGGUUGCAGUGAGCCAAGAUCGUGCCACUGCACUCCAGCCUGGGCAACAGAGCAAGACUCUGCCUCAA